rnacentral:rRNA from 1 species
GAUGAACGCUGGCGGCGUGCCUAAUACAUGCCAGUCGAGCGAACAGAUGAGGAGCUUGCUCCUCUGACGUUAGCGGCGGACGGGUGAGUAACACGUGGAUAACCUACCUAUAAGACUGGGAUAACUUCGGGAAACCGGAGCUAAUACCGGGUAAUAUAUUGAACCGCAUGGUUCAAUAGUGAAAGACGGUUUUGCUGUCACUUAUAGAUGGAUCCGCGCCGCAUUAGCUAGUCGGUAAGGUAACGGCUUACCAAGGCAACGAUGCGUAGCCGACCUGAGAGGGUGAUCGGCCACACUGGAACUGAGACACGGUCCAGACUCCUACGGGAGGCAGCAGUAGGGAAUCUUCCGCAAUGGGCGAAAGCCUGACGGAGCAACGCCGCGUGAGUGAUGAAGGUCUUCGGAUCGUAAAACUCUGUUAUUGGGGAAGAACAAAUGUGUAAGUAACUAUGCACGUCUUGACGGUACCUAAUCAGAAAGCCACGGCUAACUACGUG